UUGCUUUCGGGAGAGGCACGGUUUUAGUUUCGUGAGGGGCACAGCCGUGCCUCUCGAAAACAGAAAAAAAUACGUGUUUUCUUUUUCUUUUUCCUUCCGCGAGAUGCACGGUUUUGCUUCCGCGAGAGUCACGGCUGAUAUGUCUCCAACGUAUCUAUAAUUUUUUUAUUGUUACAUGCUAUUAUCUAUCUAUCUAUCUAUCUAUACCUAUACUAAUUAGGCACUUCCUACAAAUUCCCCACAAUUCUUUCUCUCGAUUGUAAAUCUGAACCAGAAACCUGUAUUUUAUCUGAACCAGAAACCUAUGUUUUAAUGGUGCACGCAUCUAUAUCUAUAUCUAUAUCUAUCUAUAUCUAUAUCUAUCUAUAUCUAUCUAUCUAUCUAUCUAUAUCUAUAUCUAUAUCUAUAUCUAUAUCUAUCUAUCUAUCUAUCUAUCUAUCUAUAUCUAUAUCUAUAUCUAUCUAUCUAUCUAUAUCUAUACUAAUUAGCGACUUCCAAUAAAUUACCACAUUAAUUAGAAUUUAUGAGCCGUUCAUCUCUGGUGGGACCGAAUUAUUACGGUAUAGAUCCACUCAUAUAAUCUGAGACUAAAAAAACAAGAGAUGCCACGUCCCUACAAAUGCCCUCAGAAAAUAAACGCCCACGAUCCAACUCUCCCAAUCUCUCAUGUAUAAAAAAAAACAAUCUCACGUAUAUCUCCCUCAAGUCCAACUGCCUCACGAUCCCAAUAUCUCAAUCUCCCAUGUCCUAAAAAAAACUCCCAUGAUCCAACUCCCCCAAUCUCUUAUAUAUCUCUCCAAAAAUAUAUCUCACGUAUAUCUUCCUCACAAUCCAAAUCUCUCAAUCUCUCACGUACGCAUCUCUCUCCUGUUGUGAUGGAAAAAAAGAGCCAACCUAACCUAACUUACAUGUAUUAAAAGUCACUUUUCAAGGAUCCACGUUAAUCCUAGGUCUGAGUUUGUUUUGUUGGAAAAAAGGGAAACCCAUGUCGAUCGCCUCCAUGCCACCUCCGAUCUCCUCUUUCUAGCUGCCGCCUCUCAACUCCUCCUUUCUGCCUCCCCAACCCUCUGAUCUACUCCAUGUUGCCAUCUCCAUCUCCAUGCGCUGCUCGCACCAGUUUAGCUUAUCAUUGCUAAGCUCAUGCUUCCUCGAUCUAGCUUGGCACCCAUCCGCCCUCUUCUCCAAGAGUAAUAAGGAUUCAUGCAAAUCUGAUGUGUCUCUUGCUAGACUUCAAGAUCUAUACAAUUUACUUGAGUGUAUCUCCGUUCUCAAUCUUAUGUGUCCUCUACAAAUUGAAUGGUCCAUCACUGCAGUAUACAGGUAGUCAGGUAAUACCAAAUCCAGUCACAAGCUCCUACCCCAGCUCAAGUUUGUUGAUUGUGGCCGAGCACUAUCAGAUCAACCGAUAAAACAGGUUCAACUCCUCUAGAUCCAUCAGCUUUCUGCUCACUUCCCAGCUACUUUGCAUCCUCCAGAUAUGCAAUUUCAUAUGACGUGUGCAGAACACAUCAUGGCCUGAGUUGCUUGCAUUUUUUUUUCUUUUUGCUUUGAUUCCUUUCUAUAAUACAAUUGAUUGUUGCUUUUCCUACAGAUAUAUUAGUAUAUACAUGUUCCAUUGGUUGAUGCAUUUAUGUGAUAUUCCGAUCCUAAUAAGGAAUCCCGAUCACCUACGUGCGUAGCCUAAGAUGAGUGCCAGCUAGCUCGAGGAGCUCCUGCUGUACGCGUCGGGCACCGGCUCCGUCCCUGAUAUGUGAAGGAAUGGCGCUAUGCAGGCUAAUUGAGACCACAAGAAGAGACAACAGUUUGUCGACAGCAAAAGUAUGGAAGGAAAUUUUGCAUGUGUGCCCAUCUUUGUUCUUCACCCUCCCCUACCAGCCAUUGUCCAUAUUCGAAGUGGAAAAACCAUGUCUAUAUACAACAUGGAUUUGCUACACUAAAUAGUAAAUACACAUCGACACUGGGUCAUCAACAUCGGAGACUUCCAUCCUGUUGUGUUGUGGUGUCAGGGAGACGUUCAAAGGUGUCAAAUGCAAGAAGGCCAGGAGUGUAUGCAUGUGAUACUACACUAAUUUAUCCUCUUUACAACCUAUAUAUGUUCAUCUAAUACCUAUUUUUUCUUAACAAAAGGAUGGAUCAUGCAGAUUAAUAUUGUAUAUCAUUGCCGAGACAUAUUAGAUAGGAAUUUGCAAUGGACCACUUCCACAAAACUCCCUUGCAGAGCUGCGAUUAAGGUCUUCGAAAUUUCUCCUCAGUCGAUCUAUCUAAUGUGGUUCCAGAUCUUGCAGCCAAAUGGUGAGAAGGAGGAUAAUCCAGUGCAAAAGGCUACAGCUUCUGGUGCAACCGUGACAUCGGGAUCAUGAAUGUUGAGGCUCCCACAGUCCAGUGUAGUACUAGGUAAAGUAAUUUCUGGCAGUUGCCCCAAGCAAUGAUAUAGAUAGCUAGCGGUUUAUCAGUCAACGAUUAAUUCUUCCUUUUGUUCAUCGUUGUGCUUAAUCAUUACCUUUAGAGGUAAUUCUGAAUCCAGUGUGAUCCAUGGUCAAGUUUAUAUAAUGCAUAAAUAAAGCCCCUACUCUAGAUCUUUUUUCUGUACGCUUGUAGAUAUACCAGAGUGUUGAUUUUAAUUAUGUUAUCUAUCCAUGAAUGCUACGUGUGCUGUACUGUUACUUUUGUAGAUCGUUCAUGGUAUAUUUUGCACAGGACAUUUCGAACCUAUUUGAAAGCAUAUAUGUUAGCCUACUAAUCCAUAUACCCUCGCAAAGAAAACCCUACUAAUCCAUAUGGUUUCUAUCCUUACUAUGUUAAUUUAUUAUCUGGGAAUAAUUGGGUAUAUAUACGAGUGUAUCAAGUCUGUCUGAUAGACCUAAUUUCUGAAACAAAAUUAGUUGCAAAGCCAGACCUGAUUUUGAAAAGACUUUUGAGCCUUCUAUAGACUAUGGCGCUUUUCCCCCUCUACUAAAGGUUUAGAAGUAUCUGCACAUGCCGCAGACAAAAGAUACAAUGCCCAGGGUUAUAUGUAAAAUUUAGUUAGCCUAUUUGUUUCUAAAUCAUCAACAGUUAACCUAUGUUAUAAUCUGAAAUGAUCAUGCUGGAAUUAACUUUAUGAUGGUCUUAACAAACAUGGUGCUAUUUAUGGUGAGCUGAUUAGUUGUACGGCUAUUGAACAUAUUUACUGCAGUUUGGGUGCAAAAUCCUUCAGCUUAACCAUUCCUAUAUGUACAUUAUCCUUCAUAUAUACUUCAUUAAAUGGUGUACUGUUCAUCCUAAAUGAUUCUAGAUUACUACUGCACACUCAGAUUCAUUCCCUUUCCUUUUUUUUGACAAAACACAACAUCACUGCAUUUACAUUCAGAACAGGAAGUAAAGUUCAGAGAAACAUCUACCGAGCUAGACAUGAGAGAAAUAAAACAGCAAGAUUAAAUCAUCUGGACAUCCUUCAGAUGAACUAGGCGCACGGUUAAAUAUUUAUAUGCACAUAAUGUUCUUGCUCGAUAAUAGCAGACAACUUUAGUUUCCUAGGCAAAAGCAAUGAAAAAAGUAGUGCCCUAUAACAAAGUAGCACCAGUCUUAAAGUACACUAUUAGAGUGCUAUACCGCACUAUAGGAUGCUAUUAGCGAGACACUGUAUACAUUGAUUUAUUUAGCGAGACAAUUCUCAGCACACUAUGGUGUUCUAUCAGCGGCGCUAUAACGCGCUAUUUUUUCAGUGGCCAAAAGUAUCCAAAUUGCCGACGAUUGAUUUGAUAGAUUAUUUAUGCAUCUGAUCACAAUAUUUCACUAUUAGUUUUUUUGAAGAUAACUAGAAAGGUUGAUUUUUAGUAACUCGAUUCACACUACCCUUUUUCUGUUAGAGCUAUUGCCACAUGUCAACAAGAUCGUAUGUAAGAAGAAAUUCCAGUUUUUUGUAGAAGUUCCUCUUAGAGUUAUCCUUCGAGAUAACAAAGAAUUAUUUCUAAGUAGUUAUCUUUCAUAUUCAACUAAUAAGAGCUACUUCAAAUAUUCUUUUAUUGAAAAAAAUUCCUCAAGAUAUUUCAUGGAAGCAUACAUGUUAUGCUGAUAGAUUAGGAAAAGCCAAUUGUGUCAUUGUAACCUUAAGAUUUUGCCCUGACCUUAAAUUAUCAAAAUUCCUCUCAGAUUUACAUAAUGAUAUGUUGAUGGUGCUGCAUGUACUAUAUUUGCAAUACAUGACAAGCAUCAGAGUAUAUCCAGAUCCAGUAUGCAUCUAUUAAUUUUUGUGUCCAUGAGAGAUCUAUGUCUUACUUUAUGUUCACCUAAAAAAAUGUCUUACUUUAUGUGUAAUUCUUUUUCAACUUUCGGUGCAGCAAUUCAUCUCAAGCUUUUAUGUCAAGCAUUUAUUUACAUAAGCAAUAAAAUGCUGCGAUAAAUGCGCAUACUUCUAAAUACAAGAUCUGAUAUACAUGUUUUAUAGAGAUGAAUAAAUGCUUGCAUACAUCUGAAUACAAGAUCUGAUAUAAAUGUUUAAUUUACAUAAAUGUGCAUAUAGCGUAUAUCUAAUUAAGCAAAGAGUACUGAAAUAUAGGUGUACCAGUUGGUGAGGCAUACAUACGAAUUUAUAUUUUUAGUGUUCAUUUUACGUUCCUUAAUUGCUAGCCCGUGCAGGUGCACGGGUUGACGACUAGUGUAUCUAGCCAAAAAGAAAAAAAGUUGCACGCAUCUAUUUUAUCUCAAUAGAUAGACCACCGGGCAUCUUAUAUAAAAUAAAAAGGCACAUGGAGGCUGUUGUAUUGUGUACUUCUAUCUAAAUAGUCCGCCAAUCUCUAAUAUAAAAAGAAGCCCAAGUGACGCUGUGAGUUUCCCACCCUUGGGCCGCUGAGGUGCGCUUGGCCUUCCCCUCUCCAUUGCCAAUCUUCUGAUCGAACAUAGAAGGACUAGAAAGAUGGUUUCCAGGCUCCAGUCUCCUUCCUCAAUUGGUUGAUCCCUUAUUCCUUUGAUGCCAUCUUCCUUCGAUCAAGGGCAAAUCGUGCUUUUCCAGUGGCCCAGCCGCAUCAGUCGUGCCCACGUGAGCUACCGGCAGCUUCUUGAAGUAGAAGAGAUGGUGCUGCUAACUUGGUGGUAGCAACGGCAAGGAGGACGCCUAGGAGACAUCAGCCUAAAGAAGGUUACUCUAAACGUAAGUGUUGGUUAACUGCUAACUCUGAUGCUCAUCCUUGAUGUGUUUUCGAGAAUAAAAAUCCUCAUUCAUGAUGGUUCUAAAAUCUGCGUACAGAUUUGGGAGUUUUUUGGUCCAGUGACCUCAAUUCAUUCGAGUACGGCCAUCUGAUCCGUAAUGGAACUGGGCACCAGAGUUUCAAAGUAUUACUUAAACCUAUGUGGAUUCUCUAGGACAUGGGCAGGAAAGGCGACCAGGUCAUAAAACGGCAAGGAGGCUGCCUAGGAGACAUCUAGCCUAACGAAGGUGACUCUGAACGUAUGUGUUGGUUGGUAAUCUGAUUCUAAUGCUUGAUGUUUCUGCAGAAAUAAAAUUUUGAUCCAUGAUGAUUCUGGGCACCAGAGUUUCAAAGAAUUACUUAAAUCUAUGUGGAUUUCAGCAGUUACAGGUUGUUUUCUCGAUUAAUUUUUUCAAUUGCAGUUAAACCGUAUUGCCUUACUGUGAUUUCAUAAUGAGUUAGUUUCAGAAACUAACAUAUCUCUGAGAGGCUUAAACUUGUGAUGAAAUAAACAGUUUCGAAAGUAUAUGAAUGGGUAAUAUAUAUUUGGAUAACAAAUGACAUUGAUAGAUGCAGAAACGAACGGGAAAGGUAGUCUUUUUUUCUUUCCAAAGUUAGUGUUAUAAGUCAUGUUUUCUGUCAAAGUACAAUGCAUUCAAUGGAACAUGCUAUUUUUUGUAGUUUUUCCUUUCAGAACGAGCAUGAGUACAUGCCCUCAUUGUAAGGUCAUUAUCUGUUCAGGUAACUGCUAUGCUAAGGUUAAUAACUUGGGUAUUAUUUUUAUAGCUCUUUCUUGCAUAAUGAAUUGUGCACUUGGUCUGUUCUCUAAG